rnacentral:rRNA from 1 species
GUGGGGAAUCUUGCGCAAUGGGCGAAAGCCUGACGCAGCCAUGCCGCGUGGAUGAUGAAGGUCUUAGGAUUGUAAAAUCCUUUCACCGGUGAAGAUAAUGACUGUAGCCGGAGAAGAAGCCCCGGCUAACUUCGUGCCAGCAGCCGCGGUAAUACGAAGGGGGCUAGCGUUGCUCGGAUUUACUGGGCGUAAAGGGCGCGUAGGCGGACAUUUAAGUCAGGGGUGAAAUCCCGGGGCUCAACCUCGGAACUGCCUUUGAUACUGGGUGUCUUGAGUAUGAGAGAGGUGUGUGGAACUCCGAGUGUAGAGGUGAAAUUCGUAGAUAUUCGGAAGAACACCAGUGGCGAAGGCGACACACUGGCUCAUUACUGACGCUGAGGCGCGAAAGCGUGGGGAGCAAACAGGAUUAGAAACCCUAGUAGCC